rnacentral:tRNA from 1 species
GAGGUUGUGGCUCAGUGGUAGAGUGCUUGCCUAGCAUGCAUGAGGCACUGGGUUCAAUCCUCAGCACCACA